rnacentral:rRNA from 1 species
CCUACGGGAGGCAGCAGUGAGGAAUAUUGGUCAAUGGGCGCGAGCCUGAACCAGCCAAGUCGCGUGAGGGAAGACGGUCCUAUGGAUUGUAAACCUCUUUUGUCGGGGAGCAAAAGACGCCACGUGUGGCGUUCCGAGAGUACCCGAAGAAAAAGCAUCGGCUAACUCCGUGCCAGCAGCCGCGGUAAUCCGGAGGAUGCGAGCGUUAUCCGGAUUUAUUGGGUUUAAAGGGUGCGCAGGCGGAAGAUCAAGUCAGCGGUAAAAUUGAGAGGCUCAACCUCUUCGAGCCGUUGAAACUGGUGUUCUUGAGUGAGUGAGAAGUAGGCGGAAUGCGUGGUGUAGCGGUGAAAUGCAUAGAUAUCACGCAGAACUCCGAUUGCGAAGGCAGCAUACCGGCGCUCAACUGACGCUCAUGCACGAAAGUGUGGGUAUCGAACAGGAUUAGAUACCCUUGAAGUC